rnacentral:lncRNA from 1 species
CACAAUUCUGGUUCUGAAAUCUUUGGAGGGGGAGGGACUCAGCUGGGGCUGAACAGAGGUAACCUUCUCCUUAGUCAGGGGCCUCAGUUUCCUCAAGUUCCCACGCACCUCUUUGUCUCCCUCGUGCUGCUCCCAACCUGCUCACCCUUUAAAACACCUGUUAGCAUUUCGGAGUUACAACCUCUGAUCCACAAGGAGAGGAAAGGAAACAAUAAUGAGAUGAAGCAUAGCCCCAAGCAACCUAAAAUAUGGCAUCCUGUGUGUCAGCACCAGACCAGGUCACAGCCUCUGAGAGACCUCCAACAUGUGUGGUCAUACAUGUAAGCAAAGGAGGGUGGCAUACAAGGGAGAGAGAGGAGUGGAGCAUAAUGAUAGAAAGUGUUAGCUUAGGAAGUGAGGUAUUGUGACUCUAUGCCACUUAGAAAGACACUUGAUUAGCUCUCAAUCAAUAUCUAUUUCUCUUUAAUAAACAAACUCCCCAAAUUUUAGCUAGGCAAUGGUACUCAACUAAAGAUUUUCUUUCCCCAUCUCCCUGGCAGCAGGUGUGGCCAUUUGAAGAGAUUGUUGUGGCCCUGCAAUUUCUAGGCUACUUGGUCUGAAGGAAGCUGCUUGCCCUGGAUCCUUUUCCCUCCUGAGCUGGAAGUCUGACUCACUGCUGCGAGCUGGUUUUGAUGAUAUGGAUGGUAAGAGCAUCCCAAAGGCUGGCAGGAGCCUGGUCUCCAGAAUAACAUCAUAGAGCAGAGCCAAGGUACCACUCUGGAUGCCCCAUCACCUCAGGCUUUUAUGUACAGGAGAAAUAAAUACACUAUCUGGAUUACCUCUGCCUUUGAUUUCUGUUAAAAUA